ACUCUGUUGCACCGCCCAGUCGCCCGGCUUUCCACUGAGGGACGCCCCCUGCUCUGGACUGCUUAGCCUACUCCAGCUGGCCCCACCUCACCUCAUCGGCCCCGCCUCCUCCGCUCGCCCACUCCGGGCGCCCACUCCUGAGGAGCUAUCCCAGAGUCCGCGCGGCCUCGCCUUCCCGGCCCGCUCACCACCCCGCCUCGUCCCACCUCGCCUCGCCCUCCCCGGGCUCUAGCCACUUGGUGCGGCAGGUGUCCUGCAGGCCGGCUCGAGAUUCCCGAGCUCGCCCUCGUGGUGUUCCAGGAACACGGUACUUUGCGCUAGCCUGGCCUGUCCUGAGAGACUGCGGGAGGCGAAGAGAACGCGCUGUUGCUGUGGGAAGCGCCGGGGACGGGACAGCUACACCGCCAAACACUUCGCUAGGGAAAGGGCUGGCUGGUUUCGUGCGUAAACAACCGAAAAGGGGAAGUGUCUGGGGGAAAGUGUGUGUGUGUGUGUGUGAAUGCGGGUGAGUGAGGGGGAGAGGGACACGUUACUAAAGUCAGGCAAAUAUUUUGAAAAAAAUAUAUUUUGAAAAAAAUAGUUUGGUCUAACAAAAAUAAAAUGGAAGAGAGAUUUGUUUAAGUAGUUUGAAGCUGAAAGAUUGACGGGAUCUUGCCAUGACCUGAACAGCAUGCACCUGUUUUGUGGCUGGCUGAAGGAUGGUAAAUAGGAUCAAGAUCUCACUUUAAGCGUUGAAAAUGCUGAAAGCCCUUUCUCAAACCUGCCAUAGCGUAGGGGUAGACAGUCUUUCUUAAAGCAACUACUAGGGGUCAAAUGCUGAGUGAAAUUUUUUUCAUCUGUGAACUUUAAAUAAUAGCCACAUACAUUCUGCUAGGCAACUGAGUCUCAAUUUACUAUAGGCCACGUGGCAAAUAAUCAGAUUCAAUUAAAGUCAUCAAACAAUAAUUGUGUGUCGGGCAUCACGUUUAGGUAUUCAAGAUACAAACAUGAAUGAGUUUGGUGAAAAAGUCAUAUCAUCAUGGGCAUGAAUUCUAGUUCCCUCACUUAUUAGCUAUGCUACCUUGGGUCAAUUAACCUCUCUGAGACUCAGCUUUCUCAUCUACAGGAUAAGAAUAAUAAUCCCUUCCUCAUAAGGUUGUUGUGUGAAUUUAAUAAUAUAUUACUUGUAAAACACUUAUUGGGGUGGGAAAUUACCUUGAUGCAAUGGUAGCUUCCACGUACGAGUCAGGCCAUCCCAGAGGGUCAUGGAACUCAGAUGGCUGAGUUCAAAAGGCUCAGAUCAAAUUGAGAUGCCUGAGUCACACAGUUUAUUAAAUCAAUUUAUUUUCAUUUUAAAUAAGUUUAUUCAAACAAGACAUUUGACUUGAAAGGAAAACUAGGAUUUUUUUUUAAGAGUAAUGUGUCAUUACUGAAAGAUUGCCUUACAUGUAAUAGCCACGUACAAAGAGUUAUAAAAUUGUCUUGGCUAGGCCGGCACGGUGGCUCACGCCUGUAAUCCCAGCACUUUGGGAGGCCAAGGCGGGUGGAUCACCUGAGGCCAGGAGUUCGAGACCAGCCUAACCAACAUGGCAAAACCCGUCUCUACUAAAAAUACAAAAAUUAGCCGGGCGUGUUGGCGCAUGCCUAUAAUUCUAGCUACUUGAGAGGCUGAGGCAGGAGAAUAGCUUGAAUCCUGGAGGCAGAGGUUACAGUGAGCUGAGAUUGUGCCAUUGCACUCCUGCCUUGAUGACAAGAGCAAAACUCAGUCUCAAAAAAAAAAAAAGAAUUGUCCUUGGCUUUACAAUCAUAAACAAAAUACAUUACAAUUCUUCAACUGAAGAAGAUAUGCAAAAACUGUUAUGGUGUUUUGUUUUGUGUGUGGGGUUUUUUUGGUUAAAACAGAGCAAAAUAACGAACUGGAAUAUAAAGAUAAGACCUGAAUGAGCAUGGCAUUAAUGGAGAAGGGAGUCUUCACAAAACCAUAUUUCUCCGCCCAUCCUAUCUUCAUUUGAUGCGGAUCAAAAGAUAACAUUGGGGCCAGGCGCAGUGGCUCACGCCUGUAAUCCCAGCACUUUGGGAGGCCAAGGCGGGUGGGUCACCUGAGGUCGGGAGUUCGAGACCAGCCUGACCAACAUGGAGAAACCCCAUCUCUACUAAAAAAAUACAAAAUUAGCCGGGCACGGUGGCGCAUGCCUGUAAUCCCAGCUACUCGGAAGGCUGAGGCAGGAGAAUCACUUGAACCCGGGAGACGGAGGUUGUGGUGAGCCAAGAUCGCGCCACUGCACUCCAGCCUGGGCAACAAGAGCAACACCCCGUCUCAAAAAAAAAAAAAAAAAAUUGACCAUUUGGUUAAAAAAUGCAAUACGCUUUUAUGCAUUAUAACUAUGGCAUAUACAAUAUGCCAUAAAGACUAUAUGAAGAUGUAGAAUUCUGUUACUCCUAGAGAUCUUGCAGUUACACAUUUAAUUGUUUACAUAGUUACAUUGUAACUAAUAUAUACAUAUAAUAAAGUAAUGGGGAAGAGGAAAAUGAUAGAGAAAACUAUACUGUAGUAGUCAGGGUGUGAUGGAACCAAAUCGCAGUUUUCUAAUUGAAAAUGCAUUCUUGGUCCGUAAGAACAGAGUUCUGUAAUAAAGUAGCAGGCUCCAUUUUUAGUCAAAACCUCCUGUCCUUGGAACACAUUAAUUGUAUCUUUAGCCUCCAUCUUCAACUUUACAGGUGUGUCUAUUUCAUUGAUUGGUUGCACAUGAAGUCUAGAAUCUGAUCAACCUCAUUGCCUAACCCUGUUCACAAUAGGCUUUCAUUAAUUUACUAAGUGGUAUACACCUUUUUUUUUUUUUUUUUAAGACGGAGUCUCAUUCUGUCACCCAGGCUGGAGUGCAGUGGCGGGAUCUCGGCUCACUGCAGCCUCUGUCUCCCAGGUUCAAGUGAUUCUCCUGCCUCAGCUUCCCGAGUAACUGGGAUUACAAGCACCUGCCACCACACCUGGCUAAUUCUUGUAUUUUUUUUUAGUGGAGACGGGGUUUCACCAUGUUGGCCAGGCUGGUCUCGAGCUCCUGACCUCAGGUGAUCCGCCCACCUUGGCCUCCUAAAGUGCUGGGAUUACAAGUGUGAGCCACUGCGCCCGGCUGGAAUAUGCCUUUUAAUCUUAAACUGCACCACAGACCCAUUCUGCCCUGCCACCUUCAAAUUAAUAGGAUUGUUGUUCUCAAUCUUGCCUCCUUCUUUGGGCUUUCUGUCAGCCAGAGUCUUCUUAGCUGCCACUUCACAAAACAGGUGCCAGUUCUGUGCCAAACAAGCACACAAGCUGUACCCUAUUAAAUCAUUUUAAAACAUAACAGCAAGGGGAAAGAGAUUGAGUGGACUAACAUAUUUUGGUUAGGAUGUGGGGAGGGGAGAGAGUGGAAGGAUUAUACCAUCUGAAUCUUAAUGUUACUGUUCGUGUACUGUUUGAUGCAUCAGACUUCCUUGCUGGUGGUGUAGUUAUGAGGACCAUAGUGAGGAUGAGCAAGACUGCUCAGCAGGUAGAAGGUGGAGCCAGCACACACUUUUCUUUUGGAGAACUGCUGGAACCUGACUCCAGCUAUAACUGCAUUUAUAACCAGUUAUAAUUAACCUACUGAGCAGCUAUGGAUGGUAUCUGUGUUUCUUGGACAGAGCACGUGUGGGGCCAGAGUGGAUCUCACCAGUGAGUGGCUGGUUUAGGGAUAACAUAGUUGUCAGUCUGGCAGUAACAUGAUCAUUACCUUAUGAAUAUUUAAGAUUUAUUUGGGGCUGGGCACCGUGUCCCACGCCUGUAAUCCCAGCACUUUGGGAGGCCGAGGUGGGCAGAUCACCUGAGGUCGGGAGUGCGAGACCAGCCUGACCAACGUGGAGAAACCCUGUCUCUACUAAAAAUAAAAAAUUAGCCAGGCGUGGUGGUGCAAGCGUGUAAUCCCAGCUACUCGGGAGGCUGAGGCAGAACAAUCGCUUGAACCUGGGAGGCGGAAGUUGUGGUGAGCUGAGAUUGUGCCACUGCCCUCCAGCCUGGGCAACAAGAGCGAAACUCCGUCUCAAAAAAAAAAAUUUACUUGGUCCUUCUAGCCCUUUUAAUCUAAAAGUGGAACUCUCAUGUGUUCCAUUAUUUUUGUGUAUGUUCAAUACAUAUAUGUUCCAUUCAUCCUAUUUUUAACAUGCCUCACAGUGUAAUUAUUUAUUAUUUAUACUUAAUACAUCUUACAAAUUUCAUUAUGUCUAACAAGCCAUUUGCUCCCAUACUUAGUUUCUCUCAAUUUCUGUGGCAGAAUUGAAUAUUCUUAAAUGACACAGCAAAAACAUCACAGUACUCAGAAUAGUGUAGGCAGUGUGAGUUUCCCCCAGGAUGUUCAAAGUUAUUGGAAGAGCAAAUGGAAAAAAAUAACACGCGUAACUGAAAGAUCUCAAGGAGUAAGAGGAUUCUGCAUCUUCAUAUGGACUUUAUGGCAUAUUGUAUUUUCCAAAAAUGGCCACAACAAUAUUUCUGGUACCAUAUGCUGUUCCAGAACUUGGAUACACCUCCCCUUAAAAGGUGGUGUCUAAUGCACUUCCCUUUGCAUAUAGGCCAUCAAUAUUAACUUUUGUUUGUUUGUUUGUUUGUUUGUUUGUUUGAGACAGAGUCUCGCUCGGGCACCAGGCUGGAGUGCAGUGGCACGGUCUCGGCUUACUACAACCUCCGCCUUCCGGAUUCAAGUGAUUCUGCUGCCUCAGCCUCCCGAAUAGCUGGGAUUACAGUGUUUCAGAAUCACCUGGGAUGAUCUGCAUGAAGAUUCCUGGCCUCCACCAAAGACUUACUGAAUCAGAAAGGAGGCAAGAGGAUGAGGAAUGCUUAAGAAUCUGCAUUAACAAACUUUACAAAUGAAUCUUACAACAUACAGAAGCAUGGAAACUACUGCCUCAAGGGAUUAUCUCAACUUGAGUUUAAACAUAGGAAUUGCUGACUACCUUUAAAAUGUAAAAAUAGUAUCUUUAUGGGAGGGAUGUUGUUUGGGGGCAGCUACUAAAUAGUGAAAUCAUUCCUUUAAAAUACCCUCUCAAGUCUGCCCCAGUUAUCCAUUUUACUGGAUAGUCUUGGUAUCCAGAUGAUUUAGGGAAAAAAAUAGUAGUAGCAAACUCUGAAAACACUCAGUAAAGUUCAUUCUUGGUCUUCUCUUCCUAAAUUUGUUUUCAAUUGUUAGAUUUAAACACUAAACAAGACCAAAAGAGAACUUUAUUUUACAUGUCUUUAUUUUACAUUUAGAACCGUUUUAUGAUUUACUUAAAAAAAAAAUCUUUUACUAUUAUUAGAAGUAUUUUUUAACCAAAAUCUUGAUUUAGGAAGACUUAAGACAUUGUGCAUUAUUUUAAAUAUUUUCAUUUCAGUAACUAUUAAAAAUAAAUUCACAAUUAGGGUUUCAAAUGUCCUAAUCAUAUCUAGUUUGUUCUCAUUUAAUAUUUUAUCAAUCCCAUCAUGUGCAUACAGAGGUUAAGGUGAUGUAUAAAUUUUAUAUCUUUCAAACACAUUGAUGCUAAUCAGCUCUUGAUCUAAUUACUAUUUCAUUUAUUCAGAAAUAGCAUUUAGACAUAAAAACCAAUGUCUCACUUUGUAAAAUAACCUUUGGCUAAUUUACACACAUCUAAUACAGCGUGUUAUAUAAGUUUUAAGUAAUACAAUGAGUCACUACUAUCAUUCAGUUUUAAAUAUUUUUAGUGUUAACAGGGCUGAGAAUAUCAUGUGGUUCAGUCUUCUGAAGGAAGUUAUAUAAUAAAAGCAUAGUGCCUUUGAACAUGAAGACUAUCCUCAAGGCCAGAAAUCCUACAAAGGAACUGAAAGGAGAGAUUCCAGAGAAUUGCUCUCCUCAUUUUUAAUAUGUAAAGUGACUGUUUUAAGUCACUUCAUUGAAGACUUAAGGAAGAAAACAGUGUUAUUAUGCCACUGAAUAAAGCUACUUAAACCAGAGUAAUUUUGGGAUAUUAAUCCUAGGCUACAUAAUUAAUAGGUCAUCAAAACAAAAACCUGUCAGUUAUUAGGUGUAAGUUAACUUCCUAUGCCAAGUAAGGGGUCACACUUCACUUCCCCCAUUUGUAAAAUGAAAAGGUGGCCAGGCCAGUGCCAUUUAGGAUUCUCUGCUAACUGUAAAAUGUGGACUGAUUUUCUUCUGUUUCUUAUAGUCCAGGUGUAUAUAAACUUCCAGUUCUUUAAGUCAAAAUUUUUAUGCACAUAACCAUGUCAGUGUAUUGCCCUUAGUUUAAAAAUGUACAACUACAUAAAUAAAAACUAUUGUUUCUUCAAUAUUACUUGACAUUUCUUCUGUAAUUUCUUUAUUUAAAAAAGUAAAUGUAACAAGAUACUUAAAAAAGGCUAGAUACAAAAGUAGUUAAGCUGCUCACGAACAUUUAAAAUUUUCCAAAAUGUAUCUUCAAUAAUCAUGAUCUUAUAAAACAUUUUACAGUUAUCAGAAAGUGCCCAGGCUGAGUUUACAUAACUGAAAUACCUUAGUACAAAUGUCUAGUUAGAACUGAAGUGCAGUAACCUCUUGAGACUGACUGCUCAUUGAAAUAGGGAUACAAAGAAAAAGUUGAUUGUGAUAAAAGUAUUGUGCAUUGGCCCCAUCAUAUGUACAAAAAAAGUGCCCUCACUCAAAUGAGCAAAUUACAUGCAAAAUAUUAGUGAUAUCAUUUAAUAUCCUAGAGCUCAAUGCAGUCAAACCGCAAUAAAAGUGGUUUUUAUAGGUAAAAGUGAUUUCAUCUCUUAAGAUCUGAAUGUCGAGAACUUUUUUACAAGUUCCAUAUACAUGAUACACAGUUGCAGCCAACCACAAAUUAAACACCAUAAAAAAAGUUAAAAUGAAAACACAGAACAUACUUAAUUUUUUAUUUUGAAAUUCCCUAUUCCCUCUAUACAAGAACCUUUGCUGAAACAGUUUCCACAAAGGCAGCAGUGAAUUUUCAGAACAUUUACAUUUUUUCCCCCUCAGCAAAAAGAUAAAUCACAGUGUAAAUUAUGUUGUUCUGCUGUCAUCUUUGGCUGGGGUUAGACCCAGAAGUUGGUGACUAGCAAACCAAUAUAGCCAAAUGUUGCUAGUGCUCCUUAGGCCUUUAAGCUAUAAACUCAGCAAGGAAUGUCUGCAUUUUAUCUCUUUAAGGUACCACCAGGGGGGUAUGACAGCAUUAACUUCCAUAAACUUUUAUAGACAAAUGGAAAAAAAUCUACAAAAUUUGCUAGUAAUAUUACACAGCAAUACACACUUUUUAUACUCUACACAAAACCAAAAUUCUUGGUCUUAAUGGCGAGUAACAAUUUCUGUUUGAGAAUCUGUUUAGAGGAAUAGAGUGGGACGUAAAGUCGAGAAAUGCAAGUAUUUGCAGUAGGAAGAUGUUGGUCAUCUGGUGGUCUUAUUGUGAUUGAGGGCAUAGGCUGGAAUCCUUCUUCACUGGCUGGCAGUGAUGGGCUUGAUGUCCAAAAGUAAACCUGAACAGGAAUUUAACAGGUUAAUAUUUAACUCUUAACUCUGGCAGUAUAUACACAAAGCCCUAUUGUUAUGUUAAUAACCUAAAAGGAGAUAUUAUUUUGAACUGGAUUUUAAAUAUAUUUUCUUGUACUAAAAAGGAAAGGGAUCAUUCAUACCUCAAGACAGGUUUUUGUUUUUGUUUUUUUUCCCCAAAGGAGUAAGUCUAGAGUUAGUAGAGGAAAAAAAGGUGACUUUCUGUCACAGAGCCUCAGUAUUUUCAUCUGUAACAUGAGGCUGUUGGACUAAAUGGUUUCUAAGAGCCUUUCUUGCAGCUAAUUCCAUAAAGUGUCUAUUAGUGGAAAAAAGGCUGCCAAACAAAAGAUACGGUCUUAGGUUCAAAACUCACACAGGUUAUCUUAAAAAGUUAUUUUGCAUUAAGGAGCAAAAUAAUGCAAAUAAUAAAAUAAUAAAGCAAAAAAAGUAUUUACUGCUACAUUGUGAUACAGAAUCAUUUUAUAAUAGUAAUUAUUGGGGAACAUCUAUCUAUGCAUCAAAAUUCAUGCAAUAAGCCAUAUUAACACUAAGUUUUAUCAUACCUCUGUAAUAAAACUUUGUGCAACACAGUGUAAAUGAUGCUCAGUAAAUGUGAACUUACACUUUUUAACUUAACCAAGGAUAUGCCUCCCUGAAAUAGUUUGCUGAACAUGUAACAUUCCUCAUCAAUCCAUCCCUUCAUACAUACGCAUCAUUCUUCAGUGUCUGUCUCUCUUAAGGAAAAGCUUUUUUUUUAAUCUAAUCAUUUUAUAAUGCACAACAAUGAAGUAUAUCCAAUUUCCUAGAAUGACUAGGAAACCUAAACAAACUUAAGAUUUCCUGAAGCACAGUUGUAUGGGAAAGCUCAUCUAGAAUUCUAUAUAAAGGGACAGAAAAAAAAAAAAAAAGUUAAGUAUCAGGAUCUAUAAAAUCUGAAAAGAAAUAGAAAACAGGUACUCUAGAGAUGAAGUUGAUCUAAACCACUCAUUUCAUAGAUAAGAAACAAGCUUAAUAUAAAGUGUUUCUCCAAGGAUGAAUGUGGUUAACCAGGGUAGAUGACCUCACUGCUGGAUCUCUAAGAAGUUGGAAGAGAAAUACUUUUACUAGUGAAUUAUAACACUCCAAGAGGGAAAUAAACUGUAGUUUACCCAAUAACUCUGGAAACCCUAUAAGUUGCAGGACUAAUUAAUUCAUGGGAGAACUGUUUCAGAAACCCCAUUCUUAUGUCCUCUAGAUGCAUCAGGAUGAAACCAAACAAUAUGUGAAGGAUGACUUCCCAAAAAGAGGAGAAGGGUAAGGGGGAGGAAGAUACCAUGAUAAACUGCUUACACCCUAAACAUAGAUUUUCAAUAAGAGUUUAAGGUUCACAAACUAAAGCUGUUGACAGGAAAUUUUGAGGUCUUUAUAGAAGGAGAUUUUCUUUUUUCUAAGAUUGAGUCACUAGCAAAUUUUUCUUUCAGUAGAAGGCAGAAACUCAUGAGAUUUAAGUUGGCUGACUGGACUGAGGAAAUACUGGUUUAAAAACGGCAGAAUUGGGAGGCCAAGACAGGCGGAUCAUGAGGUCAGGAAAUCGAGAUCAUCCAGGCUAACAUGGUGAAA
rnacentral:lncRNA from 1 species